UACGAGGGGGGCGAGCGUUGUCCGGAAUUAUUGGGCGUAAAGGGCGCGUAGGCGGCGCCACAAGUCACCUGUGAAAACUCUGGGCUCAACCCAGAGCCUGCAGGCGAAACUGUGGUGCUGGAGUAUGGGAGAGGUGCGUGGAAUUCCCGGUGUAGCGGUGAAAUGCGUAGAUAAUCGGGAGGAACACCUGUGGCGAAAGCGGCGCACUGGACCAUAACUGACGCUGAGGCGCGAAAGCUAGGGGAGCAAACAGG
rnacentral:rRNA from 1 species